GGGGUUGUGGCUCAGUGGUAGAGUGCUCACCUAGCAGGUGCGAGACCCUGAGUUCGAUCCUUAGCACCA
rnacentral:tRNA from 1 species